rnacentral:lncRNA from 1 species
GACCACUUAGCCCAGGGACCCUGAUGGAAUCACUAAGCCUCAGCAUAUGGGCAGGAGGUGACUCUACGUUAGUUGGUUUUAUCUUCUGUGGUCUUUCUUUUCCAACAUUUAUAAGGAGGCUUGCCCCAAGGUACUGCUUGCUGAGAAGUGGCAAGAAGGUUACUGAAAAUGGAAUUCAAGAGUAGAAAUCAAGAGGUGUGGAAACUCACAUUUUAAGUUGGAAGAAAAAGACCAAGUGUAGAAAAGAUCAAAAACUUGUCUUAGUCUUAGAAAAUCUGACCUGAUUUCCUAGUGGUUCCCACUCUGUGAAAGCAGAGGAAUACAUGGAAAUAAGGCACCUGCACUCUGCUGUUUCAUUAGUUAAUCUUCCAUUUAGAUUUCAAGUAAUUGACAUCUUAAGAUUCCAUGCAGCUAAAGGAUUCUCUGACUCCCAGCGUGAACUGUGUUGGAGAGGAGAGGGCGCCUAUGAGUUCCCUGUGGUGGAGUCAUUUCAUUUGUGCGUCAAGGGCUUCCAGAAAGAGGAUCACAGGCCCCUUCAUUAGGAAAGGAGUGACACAGGUGACAUUAGCUUACACUGAAACAGUGAGAUCAUGCCUCUGGAGCUUACCAACAAGAGAUGCCUGGGUGCCACUCUUCUGUGGCAGCUGAAGUGAAGACUAGGGACCCACUUCCAUCCUAUGGAUCAAUCUAAUUUGUGAAAAAUAUUAAAUGAAGUUUCUGAAAAAUACAUUCAGUGAUAUAUCUCUAUAUCUAUCUAUCUAUCUAUCUAUCUAUCUAUCUAUCUAUCUACCUACCUACCUAUCUAUCUAAUCAAGUAGGGCUAAUUCUAGUGGUGCAAAAAUAGUUUAAGAUAAAAAUAAACGUAUGGGAUGCAUAUUAAUAGAUUAAGGUAGUAAUUUAUUAAUAUGUAUUGAGGGAUGUUUGACCUUACUAGUGUUGAGAGAAAUGCAAAAACCAUAAAGAUCAUUUCAUAUUCAUCAGUUGACAAAAGUGUAGGGAAGUAGGAAGUCUCAGCUAUGUCACUACAGAAUCACCGUGGAGAGCAUUUUCAAAAUCUAACACAGUCGUGGAAUGCAAACACUUUCAACUCAAUCAUUCCCACCAGGGUAAGAAAUCAGAGACUCUCUACUCAAUGGAGCCAUGUAGAAGACUGCUUUCUGAGGCAUCCAGUUUAUAAUGGGAAAUUUAAAAAGCAUAAAUGUCCAUCAACAGAAGAAUGGAUAAAUAUUUUGUGGAGUAUUUAUACACUGGACCAUUGCAAGUAGUUUAAAGGAUGAAUUACGGUUAUACUCACCAUCAAGAAUAAAUCUUGGUAACUUAAUGCAGAAUGAAAACAGUCAAGUUAUAGAAUUAUUUGUUUAACAUGAUAGAUAAUUUCUCUCAGGGGAUAAGUGCAUCCACCUUUGCUUUUCCCUCUCAGUUUAAAGUUAUUUGAGAUGUAAAUACAAAAGAUGAACAGAUGGUGGGAGAAAUAAAUUCCAGUCAAAGUUGGAUUGAAAGAUUUAAUAACAUUUCCAAAAAUAUAAACAGAUGACAUCAUUCUUCUGCUCACAAACCUCCAGUGGACUUCGGUUUCACUGACCAUCAAGUCCAAAGUCUUUCUGAUGGCUUCCAGGACCUCCCGGCCCCAGUGCUCAUCCUCUUCCCGUGGCCCCUUUUCUGCUCGGCCCCUCUGCCCGCCUCCCUCCCAGGCUCUUUUCUACCUUGUAAUGUGGCAGAUGAAGAAAUCAUACUAGAAUAAAAAGAAAUGUUGGCUCAGUAGUUUAUUCAAUUGGUGAAUUCAACAAAUAUAUAUUCAGUGCUGCUGUGUCCCAGAACGUAAGCUCCACGAGGGCAGGGCCACGGGUCCCUUGCUGUUUGUCAUAUUCCCAUCUCCAGCAGAAAUCUCUGGCACAAGGAAGAUGCUGACUUGGUAUUUAUCGCGCCAACGAAAGGACGAGCUGGACACAUGGUAGGUGCUGGGUGUGCUCUGCGAGCUGUGUCCCUGCUUCUCCAUUGAUGCUGAGCUGCUCUUCCUGCAACGACUUUGCUGUCUCUGGAAGCUCCUCCGUCUGCACCAAAGCCCCCACGGGUCUUCCCUUUGUUCUUCAGCAUGUGGUCCAGUGCUGGGUGGGGUUGCUCAGCCCCAGCUGGAAGUCAGCCUCGGUUGCUGGGUCCUUCUUCUGCACAGGGGUGGAAAGGGGACUCUGACCAUAUCUCCCCCUCCACUGAGCUGCCCGGUAGUGCCACUCUGCAGUGCUUGGUGUUCUUUUGCUCUGCUGGACCCUUUCCUGAUAGUAUUGUUGAGAAACGAUUUUGUAUUUGUGGGGAAAACAACAACAACAACAAAACAACCACAUUGCAAUCCCACAUUUCAAAUACAUAGCCCAAUCAGGGAUCAUACAUUAGCAUAUAUUUUGAAAUCAUGGUCCAUUUAAGGUUGGUGUGGAAGCU